GAUCCUGGCUCAGAACGAACGCUGGCGGCGCGUCUUAAGCAUGCAAGUCGAACGGCAAGAGGUAGCAAUACCUCCUAGAGUGGCGGACUGGUGAGUAACACGUGGGUGACAUACCCUUCAGAUGGGGGAUAGCUAUUAGAAAUAGUAGAUAAUACCGAAUACGAGCACAGGGGUUAGAGAUCUGUGAGGAAAGGAGCUAAGGCUCCGCUGAAGGAAUGGCCUGCGGCCCAUUAGCUAGUUGGUGAGGUAAGAGCCCACCAAGGCGAUGAUGGGUAUCCGGCCUUAGAGGGUGAACGGACACAUUGGGACUGAGAUACGGCCCAGACUCCUACGGGAGGCAGCAGCUAAGAAUAUUCCGCAAUGGACGAAAGUCUGACGGAGCGACGCCGCGUGGAUGAAGAAGGCCGGAAGGUUGUAAAAUCCUUUUGAAACUGAAGAAUAAGCGUUGUAGGGAAUGACAGCGUGGUGACAGUAGGUUUUGAAUAAGCAACGGCUAAUUACGUGCCAGCCGCAGC
rnacentral:rRNA from 1 species